AUGUUUUUCGCGAUGCGGAUCCUGUGUUCUGCCUUACAACCAGUGCAACGGAGUGGAUUACAUGCAGCGACCCAAAAAAAACGACUCAGAAAAAGAGGGAAACGAGGCGGUCUUCUGGUCAGACUCCGGAGACGGGCACACCGUGCACCACUCCCUAGCAUUCUUCUUGCCAAUGUCCAGUCUCUUGACAACAAGGCUGAUGAAAUCCGAGCAAGGGUAGCAUUCCAGAGGGACAUCAGAGACUGUAACGUUAUCUGCUUCACGGAAACAUGGCUAACUGGAGUGACUCUAUCCGAAGCGGUGCAGCCAGCGGGUUUCUCCACGCAUCGCGCCGACAGAAACAAACAUCUCUCUGGUAAGAAGAGGGGCGGGGGCGUAUGCCUUAUGACUAACCUGACAUGGUGUGAUGAAAGAAACAUACAGGAACUCAAAUCCUUCUGUUCACCUGAUUUAGAAUUCCUCACAAUCAAAUGUAGACCGCAUUAUCUACCAAGAGAAUUCUCUUCGAUUAUAAUCACAGCCGUAUAUAUCCCCCCCCAAGCAGACACAUCGAUGGCUCUGAACGAACUUUAUUUAACUCUCUGCAAACUGGAAACGAUUUAUCCGGAGGCUGCAUUCAUUGUAGCUGGGGAUUUUAACAAGGCUAAUCUGAAAACAAGACUCCCUAAAUUUUAUCAGCAUAUCGAUUGCGUAACCAGGGGUGGAAAGACCCUGGAUCAUUGUUACUCUAACUUCCGCGAUGCAUAUAAGGCCCUGCCCCGCCCCCCUUUCGGUAAAGCUGACCACGACUCCAUUUUGUUGAUCCCUGCCUACAGACAGAAACUAAAACAAGAAGCUCCAACGCUGAGGUCUGUCCAACGCUGGUCUGACCAAGCUGACUCCACACUUCAAGACUGCUUCCAUCACGUGGACUGGGAGAUGUUUCGUAUUGCCUCAGACAACAACAUUGACGAAUACGCUGAUUCGGUGUGCGAGUUCAUUAGAACGUGCGUUGAAGAUGUCGUUCCCAUAGCAACGAUUAAAACAUUCCCUAACCAGAAACCGUGGAUUGAUGGCAGCAUUCGUGUGAAACUGAAGGCGCGAACCACUGCUUUUAAUCAUAGCAAGGUGUCUGGUAACAUGACUGAAUACAAACAGUGCAGCUAUUCCCUCCGCAAGGCUAUCAAACAAGCUAAGCGCCAGUACAGAGACAAAGUAGAAUCUCAAUUCAACGGCUCAGACACAAGAGGCAUGUGGCAGGGUCUACAGUCAAUCACGGACUACAGGAAGAAACCCAGCCCAGUCACGGACCAGGAUGUCUUGCUCCCAGGCAGACUAAAUAACUUUUUUGCCCGCUUUGAGGACAAUACAGUGCCACUGACACGGCCUGCAACGAAAACAUGCGGUCUCUCCUUCACUGCAGCCGAAGUGAGUAAGACAUUUAAACGUGUUAACCCUCGCAAGGCUGCAGGUCCAGACGGCAUCCCCAGCCGCGCCCUCAGAGCAUGCGCAGACCAGCUGGCCGGUGUGUUUACGGACAUAUUCAAUCAAUCCCUAUACCAGUCUGCUGUUCCCACAUGCUUCAAGAGGGCCACCAUUGUUCCUGUUCCCAAGAAAGCUAAGGUAACUGAGCUAAAUGACUACCGCCCCGUAGCACUCACAUCCGUCAUCAUGAAGUGCUUUGAGAGACUAGUCAAGGACCAUAUCACCUCCACCCUACCUGACACCCUAGACCCACUCCAAUUUGCUUACCGCCCAAAUAGGUCCACAGACGAUGCAAUCUCAACCACACUGCACACUGCCCUAACCCAUCUGGACAAGAGGAAUACCUAUGUGAGAAUGCUGUUCAUCGACUACAGCUCGGCAUUCAACACCAUAGUACCCUCCAAGCUCGUCAUCAAGCUCGAGACCCUGGGUCUCGACCCCCCCCCUGUGCAACUGGGUACUGGACUUCCUGACGGGCCGCCCCCAGGUGGUGAGGGUAGGCAACAACAUCUCCUCCCCGCUGAUCCUCAACACUGGGGCCCCACAAGGGUGCAUUCUGAGCCCUCUCCUGUACUCCCUGUUCACCCACGACUGCGUGGCCACGCACGCCUCCAACUCAAUCAUCAAGUUUGCGGACGACACAACAGUGGUAGGCUUGAUUACCAACAACGACGAGACUGCCUACAGGGAGGAGGUGAGGGCCCUCGAAGUGUGGUGUCAGGAAAAUAA
ensembl:lncRNA